AAACUAUGAUUGAGCUAUGCGCGGGACGGUGCAGGAACUGACCAAUGGCAGGCACUAAUGGGCAUUUCCUGAAAUCAAUGAGUUUCUUGAUAAUUAAUGACUGAUAACAUGCACCAAUGGGCGUGUCCUGAUUUUAAAAACGCCCCGAAUUGCGGUCUGCAAUAACACCAUGUUGGAGAGCACAGCUGAGCAGAAAGAAGAUCCACAACAUUAAUUUCUAGACUAAUUUUUCUAUCCUAUGCAGUUACCCUAAUCGACAAAUAUCCAGCAAUCAUAACCUGCAACAAACAUGGAGAGAAAAAGUGACCCUGGAAAGGGAUUCCUGAGCAAGCCCCAGCUAGCUCGUUACCUGGGCAACACCAUUUAGGUGCACGCCAUUGAACCCCGUGCAGGAAGGAUGCUCAUGAAUAAGCUUCAAAGGAACCGGCACAAGCAUCGCUAUGACAUCAACCAUCAGAUCAAGGCUAAGCCGGACCUGAACACGACCUUACCAGUCAGAAAGACAGCAUAUAUCUUUAAACAGCCUGUCACCAAGGUGACCAAUCACCCUAGCAACAAAGUGAAGACAGACCCCCACAAGGCUGUCGACCAACCAAGACAGUGUUGGUCCUCAGCUGUUUUGGGAGAGGAAGCUGAGUGGUCUGAGUGCGUUUGAAAUUGCAGAAGAGCUGGUGAAAACCAUGGACCUUCCCAGGGGCCUACAGGGUGUUGGGCCUGUGUGUUCAGACAAGACCUUUCUCUCAGCAAUCUCCAGCACCCUGCACACCAGCCCCAACCCUGUCACUGGUCAGCUGAACACAGCUGUGGAGAAGAACCCUGGGGUAUGGCUCAACACCGCCCAGCCGCUCUGCAAGGCCUUCAUGGUUACCGAUGACGAUGUCCGGAAGCAGGAGGACCUGGUCCACAAUGUGAGGAGGCUGGAGGAACGCUCUGAUGGCGGACAUGUUGGUUCACAUAGAGGAAUCCACCAAUAAGGCAGAUGCUCUGAAGAAGGCACAAACCAAGCAGGAGGACAAGGAGGGCGUAUAGCCAAGAGGGCUGCCUGGAACACUGUAUUCUACCCAUACAUGUACAGGAUAUUCACCAGGAUCUGACUAGCAUCGGUCAACGUGAAGGAUCCUCUCUCCCACUGGGAUCUCCACAUAGGUCUUUCUGUCUGACAGAAGACUACCUGUUGCGUCAGGAAUCAGUCAUAGAUAAACGUGCAUCAUAUGACCUGAUAUAUCCUAUAGGUCUUAUAUCCUAUAGGUCUUGUUAUCCCUAUCUUAUUUGGUUUGGUGUUCUUCAAACAAUGUAGUCUGAAUAGUCGAAGAGCAGUGCUCUGCACAGCGGUUGCAUUGACUCGCAUGGCUCACAUGUUCCUAUAAGUUCAAAAUGGUGCUAAUCUUAGUAGAUGUAUUUUUGCUUUCAUGUUACAUUGAACUGUCAAUAGAUGUGACGGCUGACGUAGACUGUGCCAUUACUCAGUUGCUUAUUUGGGAUUUAGUUUUAUUUUUUAAACUUUGGCAAGUCACAAUUAUGCUGUAGUUAUUUAACAGAUUUUUAAAUAUUUAUGUUAACCUGUUCUUGAUUUGAGGUAUGAAUGCGAAGAUCAUUCACUGUCAUAUGAAGAUGUCUGGAAAAAGUAGGAACCCCCCAUGAAUUGUAAUUGUUCAAAUUAUGCUUCGUAGUAAAAAAUAAAAAAAACAUUUUGUUUUUCCUCCGA